rnacentral:rRNA from 1 species
CAAUAAAUCACAAUGCGGAACUUCUGUUUUGCAAUUGGAUUGAGAACAACGCACAACACUUAUCGAUAAACAAUUGGAGGGCAAGUCUGGUGCCAGCAGCCGCGGUAAUUCCAGCUCCAAUAGCGUAUAUUAACGUUGUUGCAGUUAAAAAGCUCGUAGUUGAAGUGAAGUGUGAACCUUCUGGAUUUUCGUUCGAAUUUCUUGCUGGUUCGCACUCUUUCCAAAUAGUUUGCAUGGGUAUUCACUUAUCUGUGUAUUGCAUUUGGUCAUUUACUGUGAGAAAAUUAGAGUGUUCAAAGCAUACGUUUGUUUGAAUACAUUAGCAUGGAAUAAUUCGAAAAGGCUUUCAUGUUCGAUUUGAUUGGUUUGUUCGUGAAGGCAAGAUUAAAAGGGACAGUUGGGGGUAUUCAUAUUCAAUAGUCAGAGGUGAAAUUCUCGGAUUUAUGGAAGAUGAAC